rnacentral:rRNA from 1 species
AUUGAACGCUGGCGGCAGGCCUAACACAUGCAAGUCGAGCGGAUGAAGGGAGCUUGCUCCUGGAUUCAGCGGCGGACGGGUGAGUAAUGCCUAGGAAUCUGCCUGGUAGUGGAGGAUAACGUCCGGAAACGGGCGCUAAUACCGCAUACGUCCUGAGGGAGAAAGUGGGGGAUCUUCGGACCUCACGCUAUCAGAUGAGCCUAGGUCGGAUUAGCUAGUUGGUGGGGUAAAGGCCUACCAAGGCGACGAUCCGUAACUGGUCUGAGAGGAUGAUCAGUCACACUGGAACUGAGACACGGUCCAGACUCCUACGGGAGGCAGCAGUGGGGAAUAUUGGACAAUGGGCGAAAGCCUGAUCCAGCCACGCCGCGUGUGUGAAGAAGGUCUUCGGAUUGUAAAGCACUUUAAGUUGGGAGGAAGGGCAGUAAGUUAAUACCUUGCUGUUUUGACGUUACCAACAGAAUAAGCACCGGCUAACUUCGUG